rnacentral:piRNA from 1 species
UCCAUGCUGGUUGAGCAUAAACCUAUCCACU